AAAUUUAUGCAUUAAUUUACAACACAAGGAGGACAGGAAUAGUUAGUAAACAGCAAUCUUAACUACCAGACGACAUAUUUACAAAGUCCUACAAUUUAAAAACUAAAAGAUCUCACACUCCUAAUUCUUUCUUUUCAAGGUGAGAAAUCAAACCUCCAGAGGGAAACUGGCUGGGUGGGAAUGAUACUGAUACCCGGCGCUAAACUCAAGUCGCAGCAUCAAGCAUCUCUCAUUUCCCCAAAUUAUAAACUUCUCACCCAUCCAAACAAUGAUAUGGCCAUUUAAAGGACUAAUAGUUCUCUAACCACCAACCAUGCCCUGUCCCCUCCACUUUCUCUCCAACAUCCUUCUGCCCCUUCUCUUCCUACCAGGAGACAUGCAGGUAACAGAAGCACGAUUAGAAUGAAACUCUUAUCAGCUCCCACAAUCAAGGACGCAGCCUGACAACUGCUCACGUUCAUUACUGAUGGCAACGUUGCGGUUCGCACUUAAUCGCCGGGCCAUUACACCCGGAAAUGAAAUCUCAAGCGCAACGCACUUCGGACCCCCUUAUCAUUUCCCUAAAUUGCGCCCGACUGCGUGUGCGGGGGGCACGACCCCGAGCGCACAGCGGACCCCCGGGCAGGAUUACCCCACCUCCCGCCUCGGGCCUGCAGGUCACUCGCGCUUCUUGGCCACGAGGCGGGCCCGCGAUCCUCCCCGGGCCGCCGCAGCGGGCGCUCGGCGGGACGCGAGGGCGGCACCGGGGCCAGCCGCCUCCGGGGACCGCGUCCGGACGCGAGGGUCGGUCUCUAGAAGGAGCCCGGGCGGCCCCACGCGUCCCCAGCUCUGACAGAUGAGGCGUGCCCUAACCAGUCUUGAAGGGGCAGGAAAGCUUCCUGGAGACAGAGGCAUGUAAACUGAGGCCUGGUGAAGGAGCAGCAGUAGCAGCCAGUUGGGUGCCCCGGAGAGACAAAGUCACACACAACUCUUGAUGGUGCACCUUUAGCCAUGACCAGAGGGCCGAAGGCUGUGUGUGAUGAUGAAUGAAGAUCCUUGGUUCUCAACCUUGGCUGCACCUAGGAGUCACUAGUCAAUACUGAUGUCUGCUCCCACAUCCAGAGGUUCUGAUUUAAUUGGCGUGAGAAGUGGCCUGAACGUUGAGAUUCGUGAAAGCUCCCAAGUGAUGCCAGUGCCCAGGACCGUCCCUUCCAUGACUAUCUGCUGGAUGCCUCCUCCUCCCAGUUUUUCAGGCUCGCUGAAGGCUCCAGGGCAGCUAGACGAAUUGUCCUUGGCUGACCUUGGUUGUGCUUCGUUAUAACUUGUUCAACAGGGUCUGACCUUGUACUUGAGCAUGUGAACGUGGGAGGGAGUGAAAAGCUAGAUGUAUGUGUGAACCUGUGAAGAAAUAUACAAGCCAUCAGGAAUGUGAGACCGAGUGGAGCACACUGUGGACACUUGUCUAUGAGUCUGAGGGUAGUGAGAUGGCCAGCCACAGUCUUCAAACCUUCUCUCUUGAAGAAGGAGAUUCCUACACAAGUCACUUGUGGAGACAGCCCCAAAAGGUUACAUCAAUCCAAGGGAGGAAGGUUGUCGAAUUCUUCUGAAAACAGUAUUGUGGGAAAUUCUCAACAGCUUUACCAGGGAUCUUUUCAAGGGGCAGCUACCCUAGACUGAAUUCUGACUAGGCACAAAAAAUUGGGCAGGUCUUGUAAGGAGGUAAUUGUGCUGUCUUAGAGUCCAUGAUAACCAGCCAGCCAGGGAAACACCAGGACUGCAAACUCAGUGUCUUGGUUAUCCAUUGCUGCAUAAUAAACCAACCCAUAAUUUAGUGGCUUAAAAUAAAAACCAUUUACCACAAUGAGCUAACAUCUCACACCCAUUGAAAUGCUUACUAUCAAAACAAGCAACAAACAAAAGCCUAAGAAAGAAAAUAAUAAGUGUUGACGAGGAUGUGGAGAAAUUAGACCAAUUGUGCACUGUUGGUGGGAAUGUAAAAUGGUGCAGCCUCUAUGGAAAAUAAUAUGGCAGUUUCUCAAAAAAUUAAAAAUAGAACUACCAUAUGAUCCAGCAAUUCUACUUCUGGGGUUAUACCCAAAAGAAUUGAAAGUAGGACCUUGAACAGAUAUUUGUACACCUAUGUUCAUGGUAGUGUUAUUCACAAUAGCCAAAAGGUGGAAUCAAUCCAAGUAUCUACUGAUGGAUGAAUGAAUAAACAAAACGUGGUAUAUACACACAAAAGCAUAUUACUCGGCCUUAAAAAGGAAGGAAGUCCUGACACAUGCUACACCGUGGAUGAACCUUGAAGACAUUCUGCUAAGUGAAAUAAGCCGGCUCCAAAAGGACAAAUACUGUAUGAUUCUACUUAUAUGAAGUACCUAAAGUGGUCAAAUUCGUAGAG
ensembl:lncRNA